UGGAUAUUUAUAAGUCGGAUCUCGCACUCCGAUGUUGUUUGAAGUAAAGCCACACAGUACUGUAUUGUUUGCUAAAAUAUUGAACUCGAUCCAACGAAUUUCAACAUUAGUGACACAAGUCUUAACAAAUGAAACUGUAUCACUGUACAGUGCAUUUAUGAGUACAAAAACAAAUGUUAUAAGUACAUAAACAUAGUUUAUGUAAAUUCAAAUACCCCAACAUUUUUUGAAAAAUGAAUAUAAAAGACAUUUCAGUGAACAAAUAAGGGCAUAAAUACAUGUACAUUGGGUAUUUAGGUGCACAUAAAUACAUGUACAUUGUAGGGCUGUCAUGGUUCCAAAAAUUAUCAGGUCGGGUCAGUUCUAAAUUUUUUACUUCGGGUUCGGGUAUUUCGGUUCGGGUCCAUAUAACUAUUUCAAAAAUCUGAUAUACAGUUAUAAUCAAAAACCUUUAUUGUAUUUUGUCACAAUAAUUACUCGGGGACGUGGACUGAGGUUUAGACUCGACAUCCAUGGUACUAGAAACAGCAUUGUCACUUCUACUCAUUUCCAUCCAUGCUUUCAAUGUUUUGUCAUUGACAAUGUUGAUUCUGUGGCGUAUUUUCAAUGCGUCUGUCAUAUCUUACAUAUACUGUCAUUAUUUACAGUUUUGUCCACAAUGCCAUCAUUUAAUAAUUGAUCAAAAUACCGCCACCUUUGAGGAUUUUGACGACAUUUCGUUUAAACGGAUUUCUAACAAUGAUUCUAUUUUAAAAACCAAACCCAAACCGAAAUACGGAAAAAUGGAACCGAACCCGACCCGAACAACACGACCCGCAGUUUUCAGUUAUUUCGGGUACUCGUUGCAGCCCUAGUACAUUGGGUAUUUAGGUGGACUACAAAUGUUGACUUUUUUGGUGGAUGAUGAAAAUUUGCCAAAAAUGAAAGUGCCAAAAUUUCUAUCCAUAUAAAUGAUACACUUGUUAAAUGAAAAUGCACCAAAAAGUGAAAUGCUGAUACAUUUUUUUUGUAGGUCAAACUAUAAAGUUUAGAAAAAUCCGCUAAAUAAGUAUUUCCGAUGCCAAAAUUAGACAUUAUACAGUAAAUAUAAGUACCAUGUUGAAUUUGCAUUGUUACAAACAGCAUCGAGGGUUUCAAUCACCAACACUGCACAGAGGCAAUCACCAACACUGCACAGAGGCAAUCACCAACACUGCACAGAGGCAAUCACCAACACUGCACAGAGGCAAUCACCAGUCCAUCCUUCUGUUUCUCUCCCUACAUCACACAACCAUACAUAUUCUUGAAUAUCCCAAAUAAGCUAUCUCAACAAUAUUUGAGGGAUCUUCUGGCGAGGACAGAUUAUGACGAGGCAUGUCACACAGAACAUUGUCUCACACAUAUGAACACUUUGGAUGUCUGUUACAUACAACUAAUGGCACGGCCCCCAUAUAUCAUCAACAGCUGGUGGAUAAACACAUUCUGUAUACACCAUUCUCUACUGGAAUAUAAACCAACACGAGGAACAUCUGCGACAAACACAUGGUGUCCGAAUCGAAUUGGAUAAUGCUGAGGACAUCACGAGAUGGCGACAUGACAAACUUUUUUGAGCAUGAGACGUAGCACCUUGCACUGGUCUUCAAGUUUGUAACAGCGAGACACAGCAUCCUUCUUUCUCUCCUCCAUUAGAUACAAAGCCUCCAUUAAAUCAGAAUUCUCCUUGUACAAGUCAACCACCAAUAUAUUCCUCUUCUCACAGUCAGCAUACUACAAAUCAUUUUUAUAAAGUUUAUAAUAAAACAUACUCCAGCCAGCUAGAGGUUCAACAGCAACAGUCUUAUUCUAGUUUAUCAUGUAUACAUUGUCAUGUAUUUAUAUUUCAUUACACUUUAUUUUCAUAUUAUUUCAUUUAUUCAUUUUUUUUAUUAUCGCAUAUUAGAGAUGUAUAACGAGCGUACUAGGCAUGUUAACCGAAGUUGUUACUUGUAGGAAUAAUAAAUAUGGGAUUAAUGAAUUCAACAGGUUCAUUAUUAGCACAUAUACAUACAUGAGCUUUUAUUUUUUCAAGCUGUUCAUCCAACAUUUUUUGAGUAAGUUUGAGUUUUCUUGUCAAGUUUGUCUUCUCAUCCUCUAGACCUUGAAUUAAUUUCUUCUGUUCAUUUUCUUUGACUGUGAGAAUAUACAAGCCAUAUUCAAAGUGCACCAUAAAAAAAACAACUCGAGAAGCAUUAUCAUUAUUAAAAAUGCAUAAAGUAUAUCAAAAACUUGUUAAUGUAUAAACUUUGACAGUUUUACAUUUUAACCAUUAACACAGCUUAAAAUUAUGACUGCAGAAUUAUUACAUCACAAUCUUCCCAGAAUCUAGUCUCAUGGAGAGUUUAUCUGCAUUUCGGCAGCAGACCAUAAUUUUAUUGCCAAUCUAAAUGGGUUUGUUAAACAAAAAAUUAAGAUUCCAUGUAUUCUUUAUUUAAAACUUUCUCUAUGGUUUUCAGAUCAUCAAUUCUUAACCUUUUGACCUCUUCUUACCUCUGAACUUUAGACUUUUCUCAUUUUCCUUGUUAUCCAUAAACUCUUGUAGCUCCCUGAGCUGUCUCUGUUGGUCCACUAGAUCAAUCUGAAGUUUGGUGAAAUUCUCUAUGUCAACAGGACUGCUAGAGCGACCUUUGAUAAACUGGGAAUGCUGGGAACGGAAUUUCGUCAGGUCUGCAGUGGCGUCUUCCAACUAAGAAAAGAUUAAUCUAAAGAGAACAAAGUGUCUCACCAUGUUCCCAACAAUCUGUGUAUGAUAAAUGCAUACUAAUUAUUUAAGAAUCAGAAAAUUUGCUGUUAUAAAUUUGUCCUCUCUGGAAUGCUGCAUGUGAAAUAUACCUCUAAGUAUUAUGUAUAUCGAGAUGAUGGAUGUAUUCAACUCCUCAACAAUAAACUUCUAUAAUUUAAUUUUGUAACACACCAUUUGACUGCUUCAUUUAACUUUAACAUUCUUUAUUUGCCGUUUAGUCACGCUUUAUGACGUCCUAGAAUGACAUCACAAUACCUUUGGAUUUUCUGUUUCCAAUUUGUUGCUACAGCAAUGUCAGUCCGCAUUAUACAAGAUUCAUAUUUUCUUUAGAAUUAUUCAUCAAAUAAUUAAUAUCAAAUGCAAUUUACUAAAUCAAAUUAUAAGGAACAAAAGUAAUUUUUGCUGAUUCUAUAUGAUUGAUGUUAAAAGUAAGUUGGGAUAGUUUACGCUAUUUUAUAAAACCGCUUGCUAGUAUUAGCGUAGCAGUCUUAGGAGAGCAGAUUAGAAGAUCUAAUUUUAAUUUGAUGAGAUGACGGACUACUAGUUUUGAACACAUAUAUAAAACUCUUUUGUAUAAUGAAUCCACCAGGCACUCACCAUUUGUGUGACUUUUCUUAGUUCCUCUUCCAGUCUUGAUUUUUCUAAAUGAAGAGCCUGCAUCUUCUCCUGAAGAAACACAAUGAACAGGUAUAAACAGUAUACUGGCCAGAAAUGCUGGCCCCUGUUUUAUUUUCGCCCUCGAAGUCAGUGGGUGAAUGUAAGACUGGGCAAAACCUUUAUCUCUCUAUCUCUCAUUUAAAACAACUGUACAUGUCUUGGCGAAUUUAAAACAGAGCUAAACUGUCUGAAAGUGUAGAAGAGUGAAAAUAACACGACAAAAAUAACUCUGUAUUCAGUAUUAUGUAGAGUCGCGAGACUGUAAAGACAAAAAUAACUGUAUUCAGUAUUAUGUAGAGUCGCGAGACUGUAAAGACAAAAAUAACUCUGUAUUCAGUAUUAUGUAGAGUCGCGAGACUGUAAAGACAAAAAUAACCCUGUAUUCAGUAUCAUGUAGAGUCGCGAGACUGUACAAGAGUACCAGUCAAAUUUUUGAUCUGGCUUGGAUUUCUUGAAAAAAUCUCAAACUAACUUUCUUUUAUUUGAGAAGUCAAAAUUUUGAGUAAAAUCGCAGACUUAAAGGGAACGUAGGGUAUAAAAAAAUAAUUUCACAUUUCAAAUACUAAAUAUUUAGUAAUUAAGUCCACUGGUUAUUUCCAUUUGAUUGUAAUCUGUUGUGUAGAAAUCGGCUAUUAAAUAUAGCUACACAUCAUCUGCUGGAGGCUGCCAUUUUGCAAGAUAAAGUUAUCGCUCUUUAAGAUAUUUCCUACAAUCCCAUCUGUUUAUGACGUAUACCGGGCAAUUGCCUCUCAGUGAAAGCAUCUGAUCAUGUCUGACUGCAAAGGAUAUCAAUAUGAGCCUGAUUAUAAUGAAGAGGAAUUAUUAGCAGCUUCAAAUGAAAACACUAGUGCAUUGGGAUAAAUUGAUGAAAACGACACUCUUAAUUCUUAAACUUUUAAUUUUGUAUUCUUUAUACAGGAUUGUUCAUUAUCUUCACUUCUUCAUUCUUCACUUGAACAUUCCUUAGCACAUAUGAUGGACAAUGACUGGGCAAUUCUAUCUGUAUAUGUUGCACAAAGUUGAUUUAUUCUUCAAUAUGGAUUGAGAGUGGGAUAUUUUUGUCACUAUUCAUGUCUUCAUUGAGCUGAAAAUAUAAAAAUGAAAUCAAACCAUUACUUUAUAACUUUAGUAAUGAAUUUUCAUGAAAGUGCAUGUACAUGUACAUGUAUUUCACACAACAAAGAGUUUAUUUUUCAUAGUAGUUUUCUCUCUUUCUGAUUUAUUAGUACAUCUGUUUACAAGAGAAUCUAACAAUGUGAACCUGUAUACAGCACAAAUCAGUUGAUUAUCACUACACCCCUGCAGUAAUUACCACAUAAAUGUCAAGAAUUGAAAGAUUAACUGCAAAGGGGGAAUUCAAAUGACCUUGGUUGUAAAACUUUGUUAAUCAUUUAAUAGAGAAGUGCAUCAAAUUACCUGUUUCCUUAGAUGCUGAUAGUCCAGGUUGGUCAAUAGGUUCUGCAUAUGAGUUUUCAUUGGUUUCCAAAAGAAAAUGGAUUAGCUGAAAAAUAAUGACUAAUUAAUUAUAUAUACUUACUUCAUAUAUACUAUACUUCAUAUAUACUAUACUUCAUUUGUUUACUUGUACAUUUUCAAUUUCUUUAAAAACAAUAGUAUAAUACAAAAUGUGCUAGUGAUGUGAUGAUUUUUGAAAGUAUUACAUGUAUCCUGCUUUUCCUCAUCUUUUUGAGCUAUUUUCUCUUAUUUCUUAGGCUUGCUGUCAUCAAAUAUUUUAGUUACUGCAUCUUCUUUUUAAUAGGUUUUGGUGUGUAUCCCAAUAUCUUAACUUAAAUAGAUAUUAAUUUAACUUUGAAUAUUUAAAAAGCAGUGUUUACCCAUUCCUUCAUAUUUAGCCUGUACAAAAUGUUCAUUGGAUAAGGAUAGAUUAAAUUAGAAAAUUAUUAUAUAUUAAGUAAAAGUUAGUUGUAAAUAAACUCUGGUUAUACACAUUAAGAAUUAUUAGUAUUUACUGAGUAAAAAGCAAAUAUAACCGGUACUUACCCUGAUAUCCUCUUUAAAAGACUCUUUCUCAAAAUGCCGUUCAAAAACAAAAGAUUCACUUCCAAGGCCUUAUAUGUAUCCAAUUAUUGCACAAUGUUCAUAGUUUUGGGGGGAGAUCAGGGAUGCUAAAAGGUAGAUACAUGUAUUCCUUUUUCUUUGACCACAGUGCAAAAUUUCGCUUGAACUCCCGAUAUUUAGAUUAUAGAUACUCUGUAACCCAUUUAGUGCUAUAGGCACAGCAGUUGUAAUGAAUUGCCGCAUACACGUCAUCAGCCGCCAUGAUAAGAGAUUCUCCCAUUCAGCUCAGUUUUCAGUGUAAAUGACAGAUUAAAUCUUGUUAUCAGCAGCAAUUAUUUUUUCUAUGCUAGAUUUUGUUGUCUGCAUGGUACCAGUUUUCACAUAUCAAAAUUUUAUUUUUGACCCUACGUUCCCUUUAAAAGUCCAAAUUUCCACUUAAAUUUGUUUUUGAGAAAUCCAGGACAGAUCUAAAACUCUCUCAGGCUUGCCUUUAAGACUUUUUUGCUUUGGUAAUGUGCUAAGAGGGGUUGUAUGGCAGGUAAUUGGGAUUGCAAAGGUAUAUAAUGAUGGAGUCAAAAUUCUGUCAGUCAUGAGGUCGUACGUACAACAUUAAGACAGCACUUGAUGGCAGUAUCAAUUAAAGGCUUGUGUGCUGCUGACGUGCUUAUGUCAAUGUGGUUGCAAAUACAAAAUUCCUUUUAAUGAUUUAGGUCUUUGGUAAUCUUAAGGACAGGCACCGCCUACUUACAAUCAAAAGUCCUGUAAAGUAGAAACAUUGAGCAUGCAAAAAACUAGGUAAAAUCAGAUACAAAUUUUCUAUGAGAUGGCCACUAAAAUUUCAUAGUAGUGUUGCUGACUUUCAAAACCAGACAUACUGCCCCGUCCAUCAAUAACUUUGUAUAACUCUCCAUCUGAGCGGAUCUAUUAGAUUUAUUUGAUUAAAAGCUUAGAUCUAUUAGAUUUAUUUGAUAUAAAGAUCAGAUCACUCUGAGCGGAUCUAUUAGAUUUAUUUGAUAUAACGAUCACUGACCCGUUCCUUGUAGAGGUGAUUGGCAGACUCAUCAGUUUCGUGGGCAUUGAGGCUGUCCAUCUUUUCUGCCAAAAUCCUGCUUGAUUCAUGGUUAUUGUUGUUUUCAGUCUGUAACAGUACAUUCAACAGUCUGAAUAAGAUCUAAGUGCAAUGCAUUCGGUCGUUAUUGAGUUACUAAAUGUGUCAGUAUGACAUGAAUGCCCCUGCUGACAUCCAAGUUUGAAAUAUUAAAAGUCCAAGGACUGGGUGCAAAUGAAACGAAAAUAGAAUAUCAUACUGUGGCUUUUGUUUUCUUGAAUCAUGCAGUUACGAUUAGAUAACUGAAUUAUAUUACAAUUACGAUCUGAAUUACGUUACAUUUACGAUUAGAGAACUGAAUUACAUUAGUGCAUUUAAAGGACAUGGAAGUGCAAAGCAGACCUUAUAAUGAAUUGUUAAGAAUACUAAUUACUAAGACACACCAACAAUGUAUUUUAGUUCAUCAAUUAACAUCUAUGGAAAAAGGUGAUUACUGACUGGGACAUGUUGAAGUCCAAGAGCAAUAACUCUGCUGAGAGUAGGUGAACAUUUAGGAAAGCAUUUCCAUGCAUGUAUGAAAGAAAAGCAAAACUUGAUCUGUAAGUUCCUAUUAUAAAUGUACACACUAUCAUCUAAAAGAACAUUAGAAACAAGAGGCCCAUGGGCCACAUCGCUCACCUGAGAAAAGAGUGUUUAUGUUUUAAACUAGGGCUGGGACGAUUCAGGGUUAGCUCGAUUCGGUUCGGUUUCGAUUCAGAACAGCACGGUUCGGUUAUUUUCGAUUCGGUUCAUGUUAGGUCCAAUUUAUCUAAUGACACCACAAAAAUUAACAAUUUUAAUGAGUAGCAUCUUUGAUUUUAUUUUAUUCAAGUUAUAUAACUAUAUGUCGUCAUUUGUAAACAUCAUAUCUAUUCAUAAUGGCAUUUUAUAACUUUGAAAGAAAAAAGAAAACACUGACAGUCUAUCAAAAUUUGUUAUAUUAAUGUGCUACAUAAGUUUUGGAUCUAAAAUGUAUAUGAUAUUGUUUUCAUUGAUAUGCAAAAAUUCAAUAAUUCUAUCAAUUGAGAGUCUUUGAAAAUCUCUCCUUUAUUGAUUUACUUCUCUCAUAUUAACUGUCAAAUCUGUUUCAUUACCUACGAUGUUGAUUUCAUUCCACCACUGACAGAAAUGCUAUAUGUCAUGUAAAGAUAAACUGCAAUGAUCUUACGGACCAUAUUCUGUUGGUAUCUGAGUGGUGAAAAUGCUAACUCUCAACACAGUAGUGAUUUAAAUCUCUGUUGCAUAAAAAUCCACAUGUUUUCAACAUCACGCGGACGCCAUAUUU